CCCAGACUCUAAAAGUGUUAGCGCUUCCUUCUGAACAAGAUGACGAAAGUGGGAAUAUCAGUAGGCUAUCUGCUUUGUGGUUGGUUUACCAGAUGGAUGCAAACCUCAAGUCUUGGUUGUUGUUCCUAUGGAAAAGGACGGCUUCAGCAAAAUGAUUAAAUUCAUACUAGUUCUUGAAGGAUCCAAUCACGGCUUUCUUCAGCGGGUCUAAUCACACUGACGCACAGAGAGAUGAGACAUUCCAAGGGGACAUUAGACAGACACCGCGGGCAGGAGAGAGCAGCGUGUACCAAGCUCAGAUCGGUGGAGUCUACUCUAAAGAUUCAACACCAGAGGGAUUUAACUUCAGAAGAAAUAAGCCUUGAAAUCAGAAAUUCCAAGGCAUCAAGAGGGCUGCAAUUAGGAAAAUGAAGGCCGCCAUUGUAACCACAGCACACCUUUCUGAACGCACCAGUCUGAACGAACUUGACAGACUUCUUCAAGUUUCUGGAAGCCAUGACAUCUUCAUCGUGGGCAUUUCCAAAAUGGACCCAUCUCUGGGAGCUGGGUCUAGGGAUAUACUUGUUAAUAUACCCCAGAUGGUUUCUUUCUGCACACACACACACACACAAAAAUCUGAGAAAGACUUCACAUCUCUCUGAAGCCAAAAUCAAUAGACAAAAUAAAUAAAAAUGUUCU
rnacentral:lncRNA from 1 species